rnacentral:rRNA from 1 species
AUACGGAGGGUGCAAGCGUUGUGCGGAAUCACUGGGCGUAAAGGGCGCGCAGGCGGUUUGGUAAGUCAGAUGUGAAAGCCCACGGCUCAACCGUGGAAGUGCAUUUGAAACUGCCAGACUUGAGUACCAGAGGGGAAAGUGGAAUUCCCGGUGUAGAGGUGAAAUUCGUAGAUAUCGGGAGGAAUACCGGUGGCGAAGGCGACUUUCUGGCUGGAUACUGACGCUGAGGCGCGAAAGCGUGGGGAGCAAACAGGAUUAGAUACCCUAGUAGUCC